UACAGAGGGGGCAAGCGUUGUUCGGAAUUACUGGGCGUAAAGGGCGCGUAGGCGGCCUUCUAAGUCAGACGUGAAAUCCCUCGGCUCAACCGGGGAACUGCGUCUGAUACUGAAAGGCUUGAAUCCGGGAGAGGAAUGCGGAAUUCCAGGUGUAGCGGUGAAAUGCGUAGGUAUCUGGAGGAACACCGGUGGCGAAGGCGGCAUUCUGGACCGGCAUUGACGCUGAGGCGCGAAAGCCAGGGGAGCAAACGGG
rnacentral:rRNA from 1 species